rnacentral:lncRNA from 1 species
CAGACGAUUUUUAUUAAUGUUUGGUGACUUAUUGGGUUGUGUCCUUUAAAUGGUAAUUGUGUAUACAUGUAUUCCAAAACUUGAAAGGAAAAAUCCAGUCAGGGCCGAGAACAAGACAACUUAAACCUUCAAUAAAGACAACUCAGUGCAUACAACCUUCAACAAUACGGAACACAUAAAGUCCCAGCAUGAAUAACCUGAAUAAGGUGAACAAAUUCAAACAAGAAAACCAUCGACCUGAUUGUUGCUAAAACAAACAAAGCUCAUAACCAACAAAAACAGAGAAAAACUCACCAACUACAAGAUGAAAACAAAGGAAAAAUAGAAACACAGAAGUGCAAGAAAAACAUUUAACUCCAUCACACAUAGACACGAAAUUUUUGAUAACAACUGACAUAUUCCUGACUUGGUAAAGGGCAUAGUAAACAAAAAUUGUGAGUUGAACCUCGUUCGAUGGCAUGCCAAAACUCCCGCUUUAUGACAAUGUUAAAAAUAUCGCCAAAACACUACCUGACAGGAAUACAACACAAACACACUCAAGAACAUCCAUAACAAAGACACACACACAAAUAAUAUAAUAGUGGACACAACAUGCAAACCGCAGAACAACAACAACGAACAUAUUCCGCAACGACCACAAGAUAUCAAAAACAGUGACGUCCUUACGUUACUAACAUGCUAUUUCGAAAUUUAAACAAUUAAUCUACAAUUUUCUUCCAACAAAUGUACAAGACAAUGAUGGUAUGAAAAGUCAAUUUUAUAACUAUUGUGACUGCAAACGAUAAGACAUAGUAGAUUAAUCAACCGAACAUCAACAAUAGAACCAUGAAUGUGAAACCUCGGACUUGAAUGACAAGUGAUUAUAGUUUUAUUGACAAAAUUGGGUGCACAUCCCACACAUGCAUUCUAGUAAAAAGUAAAAUCCCAAAAUACUGAACUCUGAGGAAAAUUCAAAACGGAAAGUCCCUAGUCAAAUGGCAAAAUCAAAUGAUAAAACACAUCAAACGAAUGGACAACA